rnacentral:lncRNA from 1 species
AUGAUCCUCUGUCCAGAUCCAAUUCCCCAGCACAGCUGCACUCCUUCUCCAACAGUAGCACCUGAGGCAACCCUUUAAAGUGGAAGGAGUUGAGUGCAAUGUCACAGUGUGUGUGUGUGUGUGUGUGUGUGCGCGCGCGCGCGCGCAUGCAACCUGCUAGCAUUGUAUAGCCUGAGGCAUCAAAUAUAAGAACAUAAGAAGAGACUGCUGGAUGAGGCCAAUGGUCCAUCUAGUCCAGCAUCCUGUUAUCACAGUGGCCAACCAGAUGCCUGUGGGAAACCUGCAAACAGGAUCUGAGCACAAGAGCCCUCUCCCCUCCUAUGUCUUCCAGCAACUGGUAUUCAGAAGCAUUACUGCCUCUGACUGUGGAGGCAACACACCCCAUUUGUCUAGGUCUUUGCAGCUUACACGUCCCCUUCUCCAUCUCCUACCCCUUGUAGCAACAGUAGAAUUUUGCUAGUUUAUGAGGAUUAGGGUAAGAAUAUCCUGUUGCUGUUGUCUUAAGAGGGCUGGAAAGUUUCUUAAAGAAAAAAGAAAGCCAAAGUUUUCUCAGGAAGUUGGAUUUUGCACUGUGUGCCACAUUUAGUCGCUUGUGCCACAUGGCAGAAUGCACAGAGGGCUGUUUUUUCUGCUCUGCUUCUCCUAGGAACAUCCUGGAGAUCCCAUUGUAAACAAGAAAGAAUCUGUUGUGGGCCAGGUAGCCAAAGGCCCCGAAUCUCUGCCUCCCGAGGAAAAGACCUCUCCACACUUGGAGUCCAGAGAAACAGAUAAGUUCCUGCCGCGGACACUUUCCCUGCGGAACUCCAUCACCAAAAGUAAGAGAUCCUCCGCCCUGAGCUCCUUCGCUGCCCCCAUUUCCCCGGGUGCAGAGGCACUGAUGUGGCCACGCCUGGGCGGGCCAUGGGUUUGCUUGAGGACUGAAGGCCUUGCCCUCUCCUUUAUCCCCCAGUCCUCUCUGAAGCUGGAGAGUCCCUGGAGGAUGAGUGGGAGUCCAUUGCCAACUUGGCUUCUGCUUGCAACAGCAUCUUGGAGGCCCUUUCCAGGGAAGGGCAGCAUGUGCUGGAGAGCAGGGAAUCCCUGUGCACCACCGUCCAGAGGGGCACGAGCCAGCAGCAACCCAAUGAGGAGUCCCAGUUUCCUCUCAGCCUUGCUGAUAAGGUCCUGCAUUUGGAAUCGACACUCAAGAAACUGCAGGAAGAUCUUCAGAAGGUGAGGUAGUGAGCAGGAAUGUAAGAGGCACAGAGGAUCAGACCAGCAUGGUUUUUGCAAAAUUUACUUUUGAAAGGUAUUCCCCAUUCUCCCAAAGUUAGAGCCAAACUAAAAAUAACAUUAAAUUUCCUUUGCACUCUUAAAAAAAGAGCAGCUGCUGCCCUUUUGAGAGGGAGGGGAGGAUGCAAGUUAUCAGGAUCUCAGCUGGUUAUUGGCACUUUGGAGGUACUACACAAAGAAAAUUCCCUUUCAGACAAGCCACACUUUUACCUGCUUAACACUUGACAUCAGGUGUAGGGCAGGUGGGCAUAGGUUGCCCAAAAUGGACUUGUGGGUCAAACUGGGUGGUUAUAUGGGCUGAAAGUGGGUUUUCCCCAUCACUUUCCUAACUGCAAAUUUUAUUUUAUUUUUUUAAGUGGAUUUGUUGUGCUAGGGCAACAGAGCACCUUAAUCCCCUUUAAUUAUGCAAAUCUCAAGUUCUGGUGUGCACUUGAAUUGCUCCCACAAAAUUCCUAGUCUGGAGGCACCCAGAGUCUUUGCCCUCCUGUAGGCAACAGCCCUUUGGGUAUUUGAAGAAUUCUGCUCAGUCUUUACUUCUCCAAACUAAAGAUGCCCAGUUCGUUCAAUAUUUCCUCAUGGGACUAAUUCCUCCCCUGAACCAGUUUUAAAUCAUACAAGGUAUUGUACCUGAGGCACAUGUCACUGGCUGCUUCUGCAGUCUUGAGGAACGGGUACAUCUGCCGCAGCAGCUUGUUCUGUGAAAAAGCCUACCUGGCCAUAGCUAUAUGUUAUCUCAGGGGCAAGCGAGCACAAGGUAGUUCAGGAUCUAUUGGUGGAUAUAUGGGGGAUCAGCCAGCGUUUUUCAUUCCCAAAAACAGCAACAAUUAAAACAACUACCCCACCACCAUAAAUAAAUAAAAAUAGGUUGCUGAGAAAGAAAACUUGGGAAAAAAGCAGGACUGGGUUUUUGUGAAAAAGGGCUUGUGGACUUGGCAUCUAUGCUGAUGCUGAGCACAAAUUCCUGGCCUGCGUUUGUGCUCAAAAGGCACCUUGCCCCUUAAGUCUUAGUGUACUUCCAUCCACUUCCUGAGCUGCAGUUGUGCACCUGAUUCUGGUUGGUAGACCUCAAGACCUCAAGAUUCUGGUAGAACAAGCAAGUAGGUCCCACAAGCCCAAAGGCUGCUCAGCCCCUGUGUAUAAAUCUGUGUAUAAAUAAAUGCAGAUAGAAUGAAACCUUUGCAGUGAGGGAACUGCCCAUAAUCUUCAUUCCCUCCCCCCACACACACACACUUCAAGCCCUGCAGAAAGCCAUCAGAUUUGUUCAUGAAUGUGAACCAUGAAUUCUUCCCAUUUUCCUUUAAAAAUCAUUCUGAAAGGAGGAGGCUUCCUCUUAAAAUAGCUUGGCAUCCACCUAUAACACCCUCACCCCCGGGUAUGUGUCAUUAUCAGGACUCGCUGCCCAAACUCAGACAUUGCAGACUGUCUGGUUUUCCUCCCUUCGUAGAGAUGUGGGUUUCCUUGUUUAUUUUUUAGUCAUGCCAUGUGGAACUUUCUCCUCAGCAAUGUCUGAAUUAAUGAGGCCUCACUAGAACAGUUUGUGGGGUAUUGCCUACAAAACCUCCAGCCACAAUGCAUUUAUUAAUCUCUGAGGUGCCGAGGGAACUCCUGAGCAGUCUUGCUGGAACAGAUCAGUCCAGUUGUCAUUCAGGAAGCAUUUUCUAGCCAACAGGUUCCAUCCUUAUUCCCCCCCCCCCGGUCACUCUGGUGGGCCUAAUUUGACAGGUGGGUAGCGCCACCUUGCCACCUAAUGCCAUAGUGACAUCAGGUGACGCUGCAUUUUGAGGCCCCAAUUGUUUGCACUUCAAAGCCUAGUGUGGGGCUGUUUGAAAGCCCUUUUCGAAAGGGUCCUGGUGGUUGGGAAUGUUUCCAGCCUGGCACAGAAUGCUGAAGGAGAAGGGGGCCUGAUGGAGCUCCUGGGGGCCGAGUGUUCCUCCAACAAAACAUAGCAAACAGGGAAGGGCACUGUCUUCCCACCCCCUCAAGUGCUAUUUAUUUUAUUUGUUGAAUCCUCACCCAAAGGAGCCCUGGGCAGCAAACAACAGAAUGCUGAAGCAAUACAAUUAAAUACAAAUUUAUUUAUUUUAUUUUAAAAAAAACAUUUAAGAGCAUCUAUUUUAAAAAUCAGCUAAUAAUUUCAGGGUUGCUGGGAGCAGUAUCUUUUGGCCAUCAAAAGCCUGGGUGAGCAGGAACGGUUUAAAAUUCCUCUGGAAUGUUACACUGAUGCAGAAGACAAGAUACACCUCACUGGGGAGGGUGUUCCCACACAUUGGGAACCACCACUGAGAAGGUCCUGCUACGAGUCAGCAUCAUCCGGAAGACACACUGCACCAACAGCAGCAGCAGGAUCUGCUGUCUAGGCAUGCGACAGGGUCUCUCUUGAGUACCUCAGCGAGUGUGUGGCUUCAUAUGGUCAGAUGCAGGCUUUAAUUGUUGCAGCAACAGCAGCCUUGUCCCCUCAGCCUCUAGAUGGAUUAGAACCAAGCCAGCGUAAUGGGAUGGAGCCCCUGAUGUGUUUCUGAGUUUCCUUUCUUCCUUGUUUGUCCUCCAGGAGAAGGCUGAAAAGGCGGCGUUGCAGGCGGAAGUGCAGACCCUUCAAGAGAACACCCAGCGCUUGAAGGAAGCGUCAGAGACGCGGCAGCUCAGCUCAGCCAGGUCACACAGAUGCUGGGCGGCCCCCCAACGCCUCCCCACUGCCCUUGAGGCCCUCUGACCUCACUCACACCUUUGGGGGCCUAGGAGGGGGUAGCUGGUGCUCUCUCUCACUCCCUCGUUACUUGGAGCACAACAGAGACUUUUGACAGGCUGUUCCAUUACAACGUGCUCCUGCCCCCCCCCACUUAAGCCCUCCCUCCGCUAGCCUUUGAUGUGGCUAGUGCUACAGCUCUCACCACUUGGUGGGGGGGGUGUUGUAUAUUCCCAGAAUGGGGGGUGGUUGAGUGGAAGCUGAGGUUUGGGGGCCCAAAGGACACAGGGCUCCACUGGCCGCCUUGGGUGAGGUGGAACACUUUGGGCCCCUGUUACUGAACAGGUUGCACCUAUCAACCAAGGCUUGCCACCCAGUUCCUUUCAGGGGCUACUGCCCCACCCCCUUUCCCAAUUAAUUUGUGCACCAGCCUGUAACCUUAGUUUGGAGCCAUACAAGCCUCCUCUCCAGGGUGGGGUUAGGGGUGGGAAUGGUUGUCUUGUUGAGCAUCUUUUUUAAUUUUUUUAAAAACCGAAUUACGAUUUUGGACCCUGGACUUUUCUUGCCACCAGCCCCCGUGGAAAUGCCACCCUUGUGGUUCCAUCGGACAAAAUCAAAUAAAAUAAAUUCACCAGGCAAUAACUGCAGAUCGCCUUUGAGGAAGGGGAGAGUGUGACAUGCCCAGGUUGACGAUUUGCCCUGGGCAGAGGUGUGUACAGUGGUGGUGCUGGAGGGAGAAGGAUUGAGCAAACCUUCCCUUGCUGCCUCCCUCCCUCCCUCCCUCCCUCCCUCCUCCCCCCAACCCAUCCCAGCACUGAUUUGGGACUGCACAGGGGGCUUCCUGCCUGAUGGAGGCCUUGGCCCGCAUGCCCGUUAACUGUGAAGUUUUUGAAAGCUGUGACACAAGCCCUGCUCCCUCCUUGCCCUGUGUGGUCCUCAUUUCCACCUCUUCUUGUAACCCAUCACAGAUUCUUCCUAGGUGGGGGCAAGACAAUCCAGCUUGCUGUUUUAUCUCACCGCCUCCAGUGGUGCUACCCAUUGCUCCCCCCUCCUCCAAUUCUGCCAGGGGUAGCCAACGUGACGCCCUCCGGUUGUGGCGGACUCACACCUUCCCUGACUAUUGGCCAUGCUGACUCAGGCUGGUUGGAGCUGAGAGCCCCAGCAAGAUCCAGAGGGCAGCUCGUUGGCUAUCCUGAUCUUGGCCCGCCCCACCUCGAGAAGCAAGAGGAGGUGGGGCACCCUUCUCCCCCUGUGCCGUUUUGUGUCUGUGUGUCCUGUACAUAUUUUUCCUUCCUUCCUCCUUGGACCAAGGUUAAGAGAGGCGAGGGGAGGUGGGGAAUCUUGUUGUCCGUCUGUCUUCCCCACCCCAGCCUCCUGCCUGGAUUUGAACUGAAUGUACAGACUAGCCGUGGCCCUCCUUGUGCAAUAAAGUCUUUGGUCUGCAGCCACAUGCCGUGGGCUCCUUUGUCGUCCUUGCUGGCAACUUUUGG